rnacentral:rRNA from 1 species
CAGUAGCCGCGGUAAAACGGAGGGUGCAAGCGUUAAUCGGAAUUACUGGGCGUAAAGCGCACGCAGGCGGUUUGUUAAGUCAGAUGUGAAAUCCCCGGGCUCAACCUGGGAACUGCAUUUGAAACUGGCAAGCUAGAGUCUCGUAGAGGGGGGUAGAAUUCCAGGUGUAGCGGUGAAAUGCGUAGAGAUCUGGAGGAAUACCGGUGGCGAAGGCGGCCCCCUGGACAAAGACUGACGCUCAGGUGCGAAAGCGUGGGGAGCAAACAGGAUUAGAUACCCCUGUAGUCCCUGUCUCUUAUAC